rfam:Triticum aestivum genome assembly, contig: Triticum_aestivum_CS42_TGACv1_scaffold_485212_6AS
GAAAUACUCCCUCCGUCCGAAAAUACUUGUCACCAAAAUGGACAAAAAGGGUUGUAUCUAGAACUGAAAUACAUCUAGAUACAUCUUCUUUUAUCCAUUUUGAUGAUAAGUAUUUCCGGACGGAGGGAGUACCAG